AUGGUGGAACAGAAUGAUCACUGCAUUGCCCAUCUCGAAUUCCUGCUCCUCUGCUUCGAAGCUCUCUCCGGUCUUAAGAUUAAUUUCUCCAAAAGUGAAGUUAUUGUUACUGGCGUUCCGGGUACCGAGGCCUUACGGGUUGCCCGGCUUUUGAAUUGUUCUCUUGGCUCGUUCCCUAUUAAAUAUUUGGGUUUGCCUGUCACUCCUGAUAAACUUCUUGCUAAAGAUUUUGCUCCUACGGUGGCCAAGGUUGGAAAUCACGUUAUGCCCUGGAGGGGCAGAUACAACACUCAGGCGGGUAAAGUGGCCUUGAUCAAUGCUUGCCUCUCAUCUCUCCCGAUGUUCUUGAUGGGCUUUUACCUUUUGUCAAUGGGAACCCAUGCUGGUUUUGAUAAACACAGAGGUGCUUUUUACUGGAACGCGGCUGAUAACAAACGCAAAUACCGCUUGGUCAAGUGGGACCUUAUUUGUAAGCCAAAAAGCCUUGGGGGGCUGGGCAUAAUCAAUACUCUUGUCAUGAACAAGUGUUUGAUCAUCAAAUGGUGGUGGAAGAUCAUGACCAUCUCCCAGGACAAGCCCCUCUGGUUCAACAUCCUCAAAGCGAAGUAUUUCCCUUCUUCUAGUCCUAUGUUUGCUCGUGCCUCGGGGGCAUCUCAAUUCUGGAAAAAACUUGUUAAACUCAGGCCCCUUUUUCAAGGCCUCGUCAAAUUCGCUGUCCGCAACGGUAGAUCCACCAGAUUCUGGCUCGAUUGGUGGUGCGAACCUUCCUCGCUGGCCAUUGCUUUCCCUGUUCUUUUUUCUUACUGCCCGGACCCUGAGAUCUCUAUCUUUGAGCUCGCGUCAAAUAAUUGGGACCUGCGUCUGCGUCGCUCUCUCGCUCCUGCAGAGUUGGAAGACUGGCAGCGUCUUGUUGCUCUCUUCCCUUCGCUCUCGGAGGAGGAAGACACGGUCGUUUGGCCCCAUUCCCCUUCUGGUCGGUUCUCGGUUAAAUCUUUAUAUGGCAAACUCAUUGCUGGGUCCAUCACUUCCAAAUUCAAAUGGAUCUGGAGGGCUCGUAUUCCUCCUAAGGUCAAGGUUUUCCUCUGGCAAGCCUCUCGUGGGCGUCUGCCAACGGGUGACCAAAUUCGCAAGCGCAAUGGCCCGAGAUAUGAUAGAUGUGCUUUAUGUGGGUUGAGAGAAGACUCGUCACAUAUUUUCUUCAACUGUGUGUUGGCUAAGCUGUUCUGGUGA
rnacentral:rRNA from 1 species